GGUUUGUCUUUUUGUUCCUGAAAGAAAUCACACCUAGAAGAAAAAGAGGCAGAGUAUCAGGCACUUGGAAAAAGAUCUGACCUGAGGUGAAGGAAGUAAAGGACCCACACUGAAGCAGAGCCCCGUGGACCUGAUGCCUGGCCCCUUCUGCUCUCCCUGGCACUCCCGUCACUUCUGGCCACUGGACUGUGCCUGCUUACCAAGCCCCACUGAAGGGUGCAAAGCAGCAGCUGGCAGAGGAGGGCAGUGCGAAGAUUUCUGUUCAGUUCCCUCCCCGUCAACAUUUGGGAAGACGCUGCCAUCACUCGGCCUACUCCCCUCCAGGUCCAGAUGGGAAAACAAAGCCUAGAAGGUAGGGAAGAAUUUGUUCAGGCUCCAGACAGUGUGGUCUGGAGGCUGUGAGGAGACCUCAGGAUCCUGGACCGAAUGUACCUGCAGGAGAUGCUGGUGUCAGGCCUGCAGGGCCAGGAGCUGAGCUGCGAUGGGGACAGGGCCCGGGCACUUUAGGGCCCGGAUGACGUCUUGAUGGGGGCAGCCGAGACCCCUGCCCAGGCUCAGGAUAUGGCCUUCCUGCAGGAGCAGCUGUUGAUCCUUGGGUCAGGUGGCCCAAGACAGCUGGCAGGAUCGCGCCCCGCACCCCCCCCCCCCUCAGGGAAUCCAGGGCACCAGCUGAGCCAGCCUGUGCCCACCUAUACCAGGGGGGCAAAGAACCAGGGGAUUCUAGGCCCUGACCUUGGGGAUUCCAAAGUUGGGUGAGGGGCCUAGGGACACCAUGGAAAAGGGAAUGCCCAGGAGGGACAGAUUGGAGCAGGGCCUCCACACAACGCAACUCCAGCGUGCACCGUUCCCACUGUGGCCCCAGAAAGCGCCCUUUGGUGGUACGCAGCCUGCCUUAACCCGUCUGGUCCAGAUUGAAAGCUUGGGGUUUGGAGAAGUCCCUUGGGGGCUGGGGAGGUCAGAGGAGGCCUCUUGGAAGAGUUGAGUCCCAGAGGAUGAGGGAAAAAAGGGCUCUGGGAGAGGGUAAAGGCCUGGUGGCUAGCCUGAGCAGACCGAUCCCAGCCAGGUGAGCCCCACAGUCCUGGUGGAGGCCGAGCCAUGAGUGGGGAGAAGGGGGGUCUUCACAAGUGAACAGGAGACUCUCAGAAGAGCUGGGCAGAACCCCCGGUGACCAGUGGUCUGCUUAGAGCAGCCUAGAGGCUGGUCUCCACAGCCUCUAGGAGAGCACAUACGGUGUCAGAGGGCCCCGUGCAGGCCCCGGGGGCAGAGCACCAGGGCUGCGUGCGGAGAGGGUGGUGUGGUGAGCAGCACUGGGGGUGCCCCCCGGAGGCCUGGCAAGUAGCCACUCAGGCUCACCCUCAGAUCGUCUCACACUGGGUGAGAUGGCCCUGUGGGCAGGAGGUGGGCCAGCCUCUGUCCCCAAAUCCUGAAUCAUGUGGCCAAAUUCCCAGAUUCCCUUCCCUGGGUAUUAACACUCCUGGGUGUCCCAUUCUGGCCCUUUUAGGGGAGCACGGGGGAAAUCUUUCUGCUUCCACAAGUCCUGUCUCUGCCACGUACGGCCAAACCUUUCCUGCUGGCCCAGGGCCAGGCUGGGGGGAGGCAAGAUGACCUUAGCUGCUGGGCUCAAGUCAGGAUGCUUGGGAGUGGAAGUGCCCAGGACAGAGGGCUCUGUGUGUGUAGGGACCACAGAGGAGGCGUCUCUGCCCCAGUCCCCAUCCCAGCCAGUAAGACACCGUGAGGACGUCCAUGCAACUUGGAAAGAAACCAUUGAAAAUGGGUUGGGGGCGAUCUGGGGCCCAUACUGUGUCCAUUUCUACUAGCACACUCUAGGUCCAGGAGGUACCAGUGCCCCUAAGGAAAGAGCUGGAAAAGGAAGAAUCACAUCCCAGGCUUCAAGAGAAGGUGGCUGAGUGCUGGAAGGCAUGCUGGCACCAGGUGAUAGUUGCCUUGAAAUUUAAAGAACUGCAGAGACCCCAGACAGAGACCGAGGCCUGGUCUCCCCAGGGGCACCUGGGUGGCUCAGUCGGU